rnacentral:sRNA from 1 species
AGCCCUGGGACAUCCACGGUAGUGGCCGC